rnacentral:rRNA from 1 species
UACGGAGGGGGCUAGCGUUGUUCGGAAUUACUGGGCGUAAAGCGCGCGUAGGCGGACCUGCAAGUCGGGGGUGAAAGCUCGAGGCUCAACCUCGGAACUGCCUUCGAUACUGCGGGUCUCGAGUCCGGGAGAGGUGAGUGGAAUUCCUAGUGUAGAGGUGAAAUUCGUAGAUAUUAGGAAGAACACCAGUGGCGAAGGCGGCUCACUGGCCCGGUACUGACGCUGAGGCGCGAAAGCGUGGGGAGCAAACAGG